UACGGAGGGGGUUAGCGUUGUUCGGAAUGACUGGGCGUAAAGCGCGCGUAGGCGAAUCGCAAAGUUGGGGGUGAAAGCCCAGGGCUCAACCCUGGAAUUGCCUUCAAGACUCGCGGUCUGGAGUUCGAGAGAGGUGGGUGGAAUUCCGAGUGUAGAGGUGAAAUUCGUAGGUAUUCGGAGGAACACCAGUGGCGAAGGCGGCCCACUGGCUCGACACUGACGCUGAGGCGCGAAAGCGCGGGGAGCAAACAGG
rnacentral:misc_RNA from 1 species